rnacentral:rRNA from 1 species
AGAAGUGCUUUAGCAUAAAGAACCCGGUGACAGGUGCUGCAUGGCUGUCGUCAGCUCGUGUCGUGAGAUGUUGGGUUAAGUCCCGCAACGAGCGCAACCCUCGCCUUUAGUUGCCAGCAUUCAGUUGGGCACUCUAGAGGGACUGCCGGUGUCAAACCGGAGGAAGGUGGGGAUGACGUCAAGUCCUCGUGGCCUUUAUGUCUAGGGCUACACACGUACUACAAUGGCCGGUACAAAGGGCAGCCACUCAGCGAUGAGGCGCUAAUCCCAUAAAGCCGGUCUCAGUCCGGAUCGCAGUCUGCAACUCGACUGCGUGAAGUUGGAAUCGCUAGUAAUCGUAGAUCAGCAUGCUACGGUGAAUACGUUCCCGGGCCUU